CACUUUGUCCAGCAGCUUGACGCCUAGCCCCUUCACCACAUCUGUCCUCAGCUGUUCUAUUGCUCUCCUUAUUUUUGCUGGACCAGAGCAGGAGCCUUUCAAAAGACACAGACAAGUUUAAACUCUGGCAGUGCGCUCGAGCCGAAUCUGCUUUUGUCCAACUCAUUCACGCCAUCCACAACAUCCAUUCUCAAAGUCUGGGUCAUCAUGUGAACUAAGUCCUGUAUCUCACUGGAUUCACUUUUUCUGCAGUCGCCCUCUGAACGCUCUGUAGAGCUGGUGGAGGAGCUGCACUCGUCAUCAUCUGACUUUUCCAACUUCUCCUGCAACAAUGAGAAUACUGUAAAUAUUCCACCACUGUCACACAUCAGGUUGAAUUUGAAAUCACAGAUUCAGAUAGUGAUUUCCUAGGGUGGAUGAGAACCCCUGACUUGGCAGCAGGUGGAGAAGUAUUGACUGCACAUGUUACAGUGAGAAGGUGAGCUUUCUAACCUGUGGCUGUGGAAGCAGUCCCUUCUUACAGAAGCUCGGGGAUGAGGAGGCCUCAACCACAUCUGUCUUCUUGCUCUUUGUGCUCCUCCUGUUCUUUCUUCGACCCUCUGUGAUACUGCUCUCAGCAGGACAAGGAGUUUUGGGUUCUGCAUGCCAGCCUCCUGUAGUAAGUCCAUCGUGUCAUCUCCAAUAGACAUCUGCUUCUCCCUGAAGAUAGAAAAUGUUUCCCCGGGCUUCGGCUCAAUGUCCAUCAGUUCAUUGGCUGCCUGU